rnacentral:rRNA from 1 species
GGUGCCUUCGGGAACUCUGAGACAGGUGCUGCAUGGCUGUCGUCAGCUCGUGUUGUGAAAUGUUGGGUUAAGUCCCGCAACGAGCGCAACCCUUAUCCUUUGUUGCCAGCGGUUAGGCCGGGAACUCAAAGGAGACUGCCAGUGAUAAACUGGAGGAAGGUGGGGAUGACGUCAAGUCAUCAUGGCCCUUACGAGUAGGGCUACACACGUGCUACAAUGGCGCAUACAAAGAGAAGCGACCUCGCGAGAGCAAGCGGACCUCAUAAAGUGCGUCGUAGUCCGGAUUGGAGUCUGCAACUCGACUCCAUGAAGUCGGAAUCGCUAGUAAUCGUAGAUCAGAAUGCUACGGUGAAUACGUUCCCGGGUCUUGUACACACCG